AUGGAUGGGCUCCGAGGGGCUUGCGGGAGGGGGGCGCCAGUGUUCGGGGCCGUUUUGGCGGCUAUGCAGGAUUGGCAGGAGCUGCGAUGCUCACACUUGCCUCGCCGACCGCCAUUUCACAUCCAGCAGAGGAGGCGGGGGCAGCCGCUGAGACGGUUUUUCACAAGAACUGGUGUCCAUAGAAGACGAGAUUAGAACACAGACGUGUCCACACAGAGGAGAGACCAUGUGAGGACAGAAGGAGAAGACAGCCUCAGGAUGAAAUGAACCCUGCUGAAACCUUGAUCUUGGACUUCCAGACUCCAGAACUGAAAUGACCUCAUUCUUGAUGGCUGCUGCUAACUUAUGGUGAGAUGCUGGGUCCCUGCCCAAUACCACAUGGACAUCCAAUCAAUUUACCCAGGGACAAGUCCACUCAAGAGCAUCAUUUAGAAGAGGGAAAAGGCACUGGGGUUAUUUGUUUUUGGAGUAUGUGCUUAAGGAAAUCUAGAGUAUUCCCACGAGCAUUCUGCUGAGAUGAACAAUCAGAUGACCUCGUGUGAGAUUUGGAGGAGAGAAGGAAAUGGAGAGCAUGCGUCUGCCGCUUCUGUGGUUUCUGUCGGCUUUCUCCAUAUUUACGUGCUUGUAACUCUGGCAUGACCUUUGCUCCAGUCUCUACCAGAGGGCGGUGCCUGGAUUGAAGUGGAAAAGCCCUGUUUUCCAGCCAUGACCCAGGGAGCAAGCACUGACUCCUCAGGGGAACAGGAGACCUGCCAACUAGGACCCUGGGAGCCCCCAUGCUGGCAGUGCCCUGGGUCAUCU
rnacentral:lncRNA from 10 species